CCUACGGGUGGCAGCAGUGAGGAAUAUUGGUCAAUGGUCGGGAGACUGAACCAGCCAAGCCGCGUGAGGGAGGAAGGUACAGAGUAUCGUAAACCUCUUUUGUCGGGGAACAAAGUCUGGGACGCGUCCCCCCCUGAGUGUACCUUAAGAACUAGCAUCGGCUAACUCCAGGCCAGCCGCCGCGGUAAUACGGAGGGUGCGAGCGUUGUGCGGAUUGGAUGGGUUUAAAGGGUGCGCAGGCGGGCUGUUAAGUCAGCGGUCAAAGCCCGGGGCUCAAACCCGGCACGGCCUUGGAAACUGGUGGUCUUGAGUGGGAGAGAAGUAUGCGGAACGCGCGGUGUAGCGGUGGAAUGCAUAGAUAUAGCGCAGAACUCCAAUUGCGAAGGCAGCAUGCCGGCUUGAAACUGACGCUGAGGCACGAAAGCAUGGGUAGCGAACAGGAUUAGAUACCCGAGUAGUC
rnacentral:rRNA from 1 species